rnacentral:lncRNA from 1 species
UGCCAAGUUUGAGACGAAGUGGAGUAGGUCAACAAAGUGCCUUUUUAAUAGAGUGUGUAGAGAACAGCAGUGCAGUUGUGUUUAGGUGAGAGGGUUCCUUA